GAUGAACGCUGGCGGCGUGCCUAAUACAUGCAAGUCGAGCGAACAGACGAGGAGCUUGCUCCUCUGACGUUAGCGGCGGACGGGUGAGUAACACGUGGAUAACCUACCUAUAAGACUGGGAUAACUUCGGGAAACCGGAGCUAAUACCGGAUAAUAUAUUGAACCGCAUGGUUCAAUAGUGAAAGACGGUUUUGCUGUCACUUAUAGAUGGAUCCGCGCCGCAUUAGCUAGUUGGUAAGGUAACGGCUUACCAAGGCAACGAUGCGUAGCCGACCUGAGAGGGUGAUCUGCCACACUGGAACUGAGACACGGUCCAGACUCCUACGAGAGGCAGCAGUAGGGAAUCUUCCGCAGUGGGCGAAAGCCUGACGGAGCAACGCCGCGUGAGUGAUGAAGGUCUUCGGAUCGUAAAACUCUGUUAUUAGGGAAGAACAAAUGUGUAAGUAACUAUGCACGUCUUGACGGUACCUAAUCAGAAAGCCACGGCUAACUACGUG
rnacentral:rRNA from 1 species